CAGUAGCCGCGGGAAUACGAGGGGGGCAAGCGUUGUUCGGAAUUAUUGGGCGUAAAGGGCGCGUAGGCGGAUUUUUAAGUCAAGGGUGAAAUCCCGAGGCUCAACCUCGGAACUGCCUUUGAUACUGGAGAACUUGAGUUCGGAAGAGGUUGGUGGAACAGCUAGUGUAGAGGUGAAAUUCGUAGAUAUUAGCUAGAACACCAGUGGCGAAGGCGGCCAACUGGUCCGAUACUGACGCUGAGGUGCGAAAGCGUGGGAAGCAAACAGGAUUAGAUACCCCAGUAGUCCCUGUCUCUUAUAC
rnacentral:rRNA from 1 species